rnacentral:lncRNA from 1 species
CAGGGCUCUUUCAGCUUUCGACCUGGUGCGGCGUCUUUCUGAACUCCCCCGACCGUCCGAGCUUCCAUAAUACCAUCCGAACUUCUCCGAUAAUGAGCUCCUCCAUUCAUCUACCGGGCUGCUCUAAACGCUUUCUGAGCUUCACUAUCAGCCGAUUUUCUACAGUGAUCGACUAUUCUCCGAAUCUCUUCCAGACUUCUUCCAACCAUGAUCAACUCUACUCCGAACUUCUAUUGCAAGCGGAUUUCAUCCGAGCUCCUAC